rnacentral:miRNA from 1 species
GGAGGGCUUGCAGGCGGUGUGC